AUUGAACGCUGGCGGCAGGCCUAACACAUGCAAGUCGAACGGUAACAGGAAACAGCUUGCUGUUUCGCUGACGAGUGGCGGACGGGUGAGUAAUGUCUGGGAAACUGCCUGAUGGAGGGGGAUAACUACUGGAAACGGUAGCUAAUACCGCAUAACGUCGCAAGACCAAAGAGGGGGACCCUCGGGCCUCUUGCCAUCGGAUGUGCCCAGAUGGGAUUAGCUUGUUGGUGGGGUAACGGCUCACCAAGGCGACGAUCCCUAGCUGGUCUGAGAGGAUGACCAGCCACACUGGAACUGAGACACGGUCCAGACUCCUACGGGAGGCAGCAGUGGGGAAUAUUGCACAAUGGGUGCAAGCCUGAUGCAGCCAUGCCGCGUGUAUGAAGAAGGCCUUCGGGUUGUAAAGUACUUUCAGCGGGGAGGAAGGGAGUAAAGUUAAUACCUUUGCUCAUUGACGUUACCCGCAGAAGAAGCACCGGCUAACUCCGUG
rnacentral:rRNA from 1 species